GUAUUGUAUUGCGUUAAACGCGGUAUGCAUUCCAUGAGACUUUAUUACAGAGUGUGUGUAAAGAUAUAGAACCACAGCGGGGGGACAGAGUCCCCUAAGCCAUAGAACUACAGAGGGUGCACAGGUGUGAGUGGAUGUGCAAACAGAGCGUGCACAUGCCCCCAUUUGAGGACCAGCAACAACUCGUGUUGACAAUUCAGUAAUGAUCCUUCCGCAGGUUCACCUACGGAAA
rnacentral:misc_RNA from 1 species